ensembl:piRNA 21ur-2853 ncRNA
UAAUUGACGCUGCGGGUGUAC